AUUGAACGCUGGCGGCAUGCUUUACACAUGCAAGUCGAACGGUAACAGGGUGCUUGCACCGCUGACGAGUGGCGAACGGGUGAGUAAUGCGUCGGAACGUGCCGAGUAGCGGGGGAUAACGCAGCGAAAGUUGUGCUAAUACCGCAUACGUACUGAGGUAGAAAGUGGGGGACCUUCGGGCCUCACGCUAUUCGAGCGGCCGACGUCGGAUUAGCUAGUAGGUGAGGUAAAGGCUCACCUAGGCGACCAUCAGUAGCGGGUCUGAGAGGAUGGUCCGCCACACUGGAGCUGAGACACGGCCCAGACUCCGACGGGCGGCGGCAGUGGGGAAGUUUGGACAGUGGGCGAAGGACUGAUCCAGCCAUGCCGCGUGUCUUAAGAAGGCCUUCGGGUUGUAAAGGACUUUUGUCAGGGAGGAAAUCCCUAGUGCUAAUAACACUGGGGGAUGACAGUACCUGAAGAAUAAGCACCGGCUAACUACGUGCCAGCCGCCGCGGUAA
rnacentral:rRNA from 1 species